GGAAUUUUCCGCAAUGGGCGAAAGCCUGACGGAGCAACGCCGCGUGAGGGAUGAAGGCCUCUGGGCUGUAAACCUCUUUUCUCAAGGAAGAAGAUCUGACGGUACUUGAGGAAUAAGCCACGGCUAAUUCCGUGCCAGCAGCCGCGGUAAUACGGGAGUGGCAAGCGUUAUCCGGAAUUAUUGGGCGUAAAGCGUCCGCAGGCGGCCUCGUAAGUCUGUUGUCAAAGCGUGGAGCUUAACUCCAUUUCGGCAAUGGAAACUGUGAGGCUUGAGUGUGGUAGGGGCAGAGGGAAUUCCCGGUGUAGCGGUGAAAUGCGUAGAUAUCGGGAAGAACACCAGUGGCGAAGGCGCUCUGCUGGGCCAUAACUGGCGCUCAUGGAGGAAAGCCAGGGGAGCGAAAGGGAUUAGAUACCCCUGUAGUCCUGGCCGUAAACGAUGAACACUAGGUGUCGGGGGAAUCGACCCCCUCGGUGUCGUAGCCAACGCGUUAAGUGUUCCGCCUGGGGAGUACGCACGCAAGUGUGAAACUCAAAGGAAUUGACGG
rnacentral:rRNA from 1 species